UGCCGCCGCCGCCCGGGGACGCGGCGCCCGGGAGAUGCAGGUUUCAGCUGGGUACUUAUGGGUGUGAGCAGCAGAGAGUGCAGAGGAUUACCAUUGCCAUUUGAACCUGCCCAGGUGUAGUGUAUCUUCUCUGUAACUCAGGACUGUGAGAGAGCAGAUGGGAACUACUUUUCUUUAGCUUCCCCUGUGAGCUCUGCAUGUGGUCCUGCUUUUUCAACUGCGCCGUGGUUCCUAGGAAAGUGAAAGCUCUUCUCCCUAUGACUGCUAUCCCUAUGGAUCACUUCCUGGCCAGGCAUUCUGGCCAUCUCAUA